UGAGGAAUAUUGGUCAAUGGACGGAAGUCUGAAUCAGCCAAGUAGCGUGCAGGAUGACGGCCCUAUGGGUUGUAAACUGCUUUUGUAUGGGGAUAAAGUUAGGGACGUGUCCCUAUUUGCAGGUACCAUACGAAUAAGGACCGGCUAAUUCCGUGCCAGCAGCCGCGGUAAUACGGAAGGUCCAGGCGUUAUCCGGAUUUAUUGGGUUUAAAGGGAGCGUAGGCUGGAGAUUAAGUGUGUUGUGAAAUGUAGACGCUCAACGUCUGAAUUGCAGCGCAUACUGGUUUCCUUGAGUACGCACAACGCGUUGGCGGAAUUCGUCGUGUAGCGGUGAAAUGCUUAGAUAUGACGAAGAACUCCGAUUGCGAAGGCAGCUGACGGGAGCGCAACUGACGCUUAAGCCNCNGGGGGGGUAUCAAACAGGNUAGAUACCCUGGUAGUCCGNUUUUUNGNAAAAACGAUGGAUGCCCGCUGUUGGUACCUGGUAUCAGCGGCUAAGNUNANUNCGAAAGCAUUAAGCAUCCCACCUGGGGAGUACGCCGGCAACGGUG
rnacentral:rRNA from 1 species